rnacentral:ncRNA from 2 species
UUUAGGCUGAAGGUCCAAGGUGCCGCCCACGGGCGGAGAAUUGGGAAGCCGGUGCGACUCCGGCGCUGCCCCCGCAACGGUGAGGGUGGGAUGCGAUUGGCAAGGCCACUGGGGACACAGACCCCGGGAAGGCGUCGCUCGUGGGCCGCAAGGCCGCCCGCCCCAAGCCCGGAAACCAGCCUUGGUGUUACGUGAAUC